rnacentral:rRNA from 1 species
CAAUGGGCGAAAGCCUGAUGCAGCGACGCCGCGUGAGGGAUGACGGCCUUCGGGUUGUAAACCUCUUUCAGCAGGGACGAAGCGCAAGUGACGGUACCUGCAGAAGAAGCACCGGCUAACUACGUGCCAGCAGCCGCGGUAAUACGUAGGGUGCGAGCGUUGUCCGGAAUUAUUGGGCGUAAAGAGCUCGUAGGCGGUUUGUUGCGUCGGCUGUGAAAACUUCACGCUUAACGUGGAGCCUGCAGUCGAUACGGGCAGACUUGAGUUCGGCAGGGGAGACUGGAAUUCCUGGUGUAGCGGUGAAAUGCGCAGAUAUCAGGAGGAACACCGGUGGCGAAGGCGGGUCUCUGGGCCGAUACUGACGCUGAGGAGCGAAAGCGUGGGGAGCGAACAGGAUUAGAUACCCUGGUAGUCCACGCCGUAAACGGUGGGUGCUAGGUGUGGGGGACUUCCACGUCCUCCGUGCCGCAGCUAACGCAUUAAGCACCCCGCCUGGGGAGUACGGCCGCAAGGCUAAAACUCAAAGGAAUUGAC